rnacentral:SRP_RNA from 2 species
UGUUGGUUCUCCCGCAACGCUACUCUGUUUACCAGGUCAGGUCCGGAAGGAAGCAGCCAAGGCAGAUGGCGCGUGUGCCGGGAUGUAGCUGGCAGGG